rnacentral:rRNA from 1 species
CCUACGGGUGGCUGCAGUGAGGAAUAUUGGUCAAUGGACGAGAGUCUGAACCAGCCAAGUAGCGUGAAGGAUGACUGCCCUAUGGGUUGUAAACUUCUUUUAUAUGGGAAUAAAAUGUUCCACGUGUGGGAUUUUGUAUGUACCAUAUGAAUAAGGAUCGGCUAACUCCGUGCCAGCAGCCGCAGUAAUACGGAGGAUCCGAGCGUUAUCCGGAUUUAUUGGGUUUAAAGGGAGCGUAGGUGGAUUGUUAAGUCAGUUGUGAAAGUUUGCGACUCAACCGUAAAAUUGCAGUUGAAACUGGCAGUCUUGAGUACAGUAGAGGUGGGCGGAAUUCGUGGUGUAGCGGUGAAAUGCUUAGAUAUCACGAAGAACUCCGAUUGCGAAGGCAGUUCACUGGACUGCAACUGACACUGAGGCUCGAAAGUGUGGGUAUCAAACAGGAUUAGAUACCCUAGUAGUC